AUAGCCUAACGGCUGAACCAGCAACUUGGAGGAAUGUAUAGCAAUAGCUAACUGCACUAAAAAUUUUAGUGUAAAAUCGACUAUGUUGAAUAAAAUUCUGGGUAGUACUAUGAUAAUGACAUUACAUAUUCAUAAGUCUUGACCAAAUUACGUGCCAGCAGUCGCGGUAAUACGUAGAAGACAAGUGUUAUUCAUCUUUAAUAGGUUUAAAGGGUACUUAGACGGUAAAUCAAGCCUCCAAAGGGACUAAUUUGCUAGAGUUUUAUGUGAAAAAGUAUUAAAGUACUGCUGGUGUAGAGAUGAAAUUCUGUAAUACCUUAGAUGGCACAGGUUAUGGCGAAAGCAUCUUUUUAUGUAAAAACUGACGUUGAAGGACGAAGGCUUUGUGUCUCGAACAGGAUUAGAUACCCUAGUAGUCUAAGCAGACAAUGAUGAAUGUCAUAGAUUAGAUGUAAUUUGAUCUAUAAAUGAAAGUGUAAGCAUUCCACCUCAAGAGUAAUUUGGCAACAUUGGAACUGAAAUCAUUAGACCGUUUCUGAAACCAGUAGUGAUGUAUGUUGUUUAAUUUGAUAAUCCGCAAAAAACCUUACCACCUUAAGUGAGUAUUCUAUGAAUAAAAUAAUAUGAAUAGAUAUAUUUUAUCAUACUAGCGUUGCACGGCUGUCUUCAGUUAAUGUCGUGAGAUUUUGGUUAGUUCCAUAAAAUUAACGUAAACCCUUACUUUAU
rnacentral:rRNA from 1 species